CCUACGGGAGGCAGCAGUGAGGAAUAUUGGUCAAUGGACGAGAGUCUGAACCAGCCACGUCGCGUGAAGGAAGACGGCCCUACGGGUUGUAAACUUCUUUUGUAAGGGAAUAAAGUGAGUCACGUGUGACUUUUUGCAUGUACCUUACGAAUAAGGAUCGGCUAACUCCGUGCCAGCAGCCGCGGUAAUACGGAGGAUCCGAGCGUUAUCCGGAUUUAUUGGGUUUAAAGGGUGCGCAGGCGGGAGAUUAAGUCGGCGGUGAAAUUUUGCAGCUUAACUGUAAAAGUGCCUUCGAAACUGGUUUUCUUGAGUGUGGAUGAAGUAGGCGGAAUUUGUGGUGUAGCGGUGAAAUGCAUAGAUAUCACGAGGAACUCCGAUUGCGCAGGCAGCUUACUAAGCCAUAACUGACGCUCAGGCACGAAGGCGUGGGGAUCAAACAG
rnacentral:rRNA from 1 species